AGCGAACGCUGGCGGCAGGCCUAACACAUGCAAGUCGAACGGACCUUUCGGGGUUAGUGGCGGACGGGUGAGUAACACGUGGGAACGUGCCCUUUGGUUCGGAAUAGCUCCUGGAAACGGGUGGUAAUGCCGAAUGUGCCCUUCGGGGGAAAGAUUUAUCGCCAUUGGAGCGGCCCGCGUCUGAUUAGCUAGUUGGUGAGGUAAAGGCUCACCAAGGCGACGAUCAGUAGCUGGUCUGAGAGGAUGAUCAGCCACAUUGGGACUGAGACACGGCCCAAACUCCUACGGGAGGCAGCAGUGGGGAAUCUUGCGCAAUGGGCGAAAGCCUGACGCAGCCAUGCCGCGUGAAUGAUGAAGGUCUUAGGAUUGUAAAAUUCUUUCACCGGGGACGAUAAUGACGGUACCCGGAGAAGAAGCCCCGGCUAACUUCGUGCCAGCCGCCGCCGUAAAAC
rnacentral:rRNA from 1 species